rnacentral:rRNA from 1 species
UACGAAGGGGGCUAGCGUUGCUCGGAAUUACUGGGCGUAAAGCGCACGUAGGCGGCUUUGUAAGUUAGAGGUGAAAGCCCGGGGCUCAACUCCGGAAUUGCCUUUAAGACUGCAUCGCUAGAAUUGUGGAGAGGUAAGUGGAAUUCCGAGUGUAGAGGUGAAAUUCGUAGAUAUUCGGAAGAACACCAGUGGCGAAGGCGACUUACUGGACACAUAUU